UACGUAGGCAGCGAGCGUUGUUCGGAGUUACUGGGCGUAAAGGGCGCGUAGGCGGCAAUUCAAGUCAGCUGUGAAAUCUCCGGGCUUAACUCGGAACGGUCAGCUGAUACUGCUUUGCUAGAGUGCAGAAGGGGCAAUCGGAAUUCUUGGUGUAGCGGUGAAAUGCGUAGAUAUCAAGAGGAACACCUGAGGUGAAGACGGGUUGCUGGGCUGACACUGACGCUGAGGCGCGAAAGCUAGGGUAGCAAACGGG
rnacentral:rRNA from 1 species